UUGAACCAAGUUACACUACAUCCGGGUUCCACACACUCCAUUUUUAGAGGAUUAAAGAUAAAAGACUGGAUUCAAAUGCCUUCAUUUGCCAAGUGCAUGUUUCUAAUCAGGAAUUAGAACCUUUGUAAUAAGAUUAUGACGACGGCUACGGAACCGCUUACGAUGACCAAGGGUAUGAGUCUUACGACAACAGCUACAGUAAUCAAGGACAAAACUCAGAUGACUACUAUGAAUAUGGACACAGCGGGGAGUCAUAUGAGUCGUACGGCCAGGAAGAGUGGGCAAACAGUCGCGGCAAGGCUCCGUCGGUUCGGACGGCCAAGGGAGCUUACAGGGAUCAGCCAUACUCCAGAUACUGAACUGUUUUUACAAGCCGCACCCCCCCAAGGCCCCAUGGUGGUUUCAACCCAAGUAAUGGAUUUUUUUAUGGACGUUCCCAUCUUUUUAGAAUUGAAAACCCGAAUCCGCGACAUAACACACAAACAAAACUCUGAACUGAAAGUAUUAUAACAUGAAAAUCAUACUCUUGAUUUGGAAAAGGAAAAAAUCGCAAAGCAGUUUAGGUAAGCUCUCUGUAGUAGAAUCGACAGAAAGUUAAGGCUAAAAAGGAAAAAAAGACUCCAUAGUACAUUAAGUUUCUCUCUCAGCUAUGUGAUUGUGAAGAAUGACAUUGUAUCAGGUUAUUUUACUUGGUAAUGAUUAGUGAGCCACGCCACUGUAAGCUGUUGGAUACAAUGCUUCCACACAGCUGCCAGUGCAACUUAAUUUAUCACCCUCUAUUCUUUAGACCUCUGAAAUGUUAGUAGAUUAGUUUCUAGGAAAGUGCAGUACUGUAGAUACUUUCUCCUGAAGGAUAAUUGGUUAACUUUGUGUCCCUUGUAAAUGAAACAUUUGCAAACUGAAAAAAAAGAAGAGAUAAGUCAUUCUGUAUACACAUUGUAUUGCUGUUUCUUCCUCUUUUUUUAAUGUAAAAUAACAGUCCAGUUAGUGUUAAAGGGCUUAUAGAAGCAUGGUGUGCAACUGUGGACGUUACCAGCUGUUAAAAGAAGCCUGUGUAGUUGUGAUCAUUGGUUUUGCCCCCAAACAUCUCCUUAAGUCCAUUCAGAAAUAGCUGCGCCUGCUUUCUGUACGCUGAUCCACCAUAGCUGCCAAACGCUUUGGGAGCUUUCAAAUGUCUGCCUUUCUUUUCAGAUGCUCCUGCUGAGCAUUUGUGAUGCUCCUCGUUUUUAUGCUUUUAGAGAAUAUGAAACGUGAUACAGUGCUGGUAAAAGGUUUACAUUCCCUCAUCUUAGGCAUGAAAGUCCUAAACUAUGAUGAAUUUGAAUCAGUCUUUUUUUCGAGGUGUAAUGAGAAUACAACAUGAUUUUGAGGAUGCAAAAAUUUGAGUUUGUUAAUGGAUUUACUCCAAACUAGAUCAAAGGUUAUACAACCAGGCUCAAAUGGUUACAAAUACUUCCUGUAAUUUGGUUACAUUUAGAUUUAGAUUCUGCCUGAACUUGUUUCUGGCACAUGAGGAAGUGGUGCACUGGGUGCCCAUAUACACCGGCUGACCUUGUGACCUUUACUGCAUGUCUUCUUCCCUUUCUCUCUCUGUCCAUUUCGUGUUUGAUUACUACAAGUAAAGGUCAUUAGUGCCUCAAAAAAAAGAAAAGAAAAAACUUGAUAGGUUUCUUGGGACUGACCUGGCUUUCAAGCACAGUCCGCAAAUCUUGAAUAGGGAAAGGUCAGGGACAUGUUAGCCUGCUUUAUCAGCUCCAAAAUAUGUUUUGAUGUGUGUUUGGGUUCAUUGUCCUGCUGGAACAUGAUGUUGUGCAAGAAAAACAAAAAAAAUCAAACAAACAAAAUUGUAAGAUUUGUUUUCUUCACAAGGCACAAGAACAUUCUCAGCUCAGCUAAUGUCUAAAACCUAAUUACAGGUACUGACUCCUGACAACAGAUAUUGUCUAUGUAGUAAACAAGAACAGUUCAGACUCUUUGUACAAUAUCUUAUGUUCACAAUACCAAGAUCUGAUUAGUAAACUGCAAAAAGGUUUGUGUAAUUUCCUGACUUUUGGAGAUUUGUUCUGCUGUGCUGAUCGACUCUGUGAGAUUUGAUUCAGCAAAACACCCAAUAGACCGGUAGAUUUGUCUUGAUUGGGGACCAAAGUUGCAACAUUUGUUCCAUUUUCAGCUGAUGAUAUUUUCUUUCACACUGCUCUGUGUCAAACAAUCCAAACCAAUUGAAAAACCUGGUCCCCUCCUCGCCUGUGGUGGCACUGCACCGAGAACCACUGAGGCAAAUGACAUGAAAAGCUCUGAAGAAGACACCGAGUGCAACUGCUUUCUUCAAGAAAUGUAAACAAAAAUGGAGUGGCAGGAGAUUUUAAUGGUCGUAGGGUUUCUCUUUCGUCUUUGGCAAAAGAACACAAACCAUUUCUCCCUCAAGCGUUAGACUCACACAUUUGUUUUGGUUGUAUUUACCCAGAAUGCCCUGUGUCAUAGUCCACUUCCUGCUUUUGAAGCAGUCUUUGGUUCACUUGGUAUUCACACAUGCAUUCAAACCAAACAGAGACCUGGGUUUGUAGGAAGACUUGAGUUUGUUUGCUUUUUUUGGUCCACAUCAGAGUUCAAUUACGCAUUCCCACCUUCCCAAAUGAACCCGACUUUCUAGGCAAACAAACUAGAAUUAGAUUAAUGCAGAUUAAUCAGAGCUAGUUUGAAUGCACCCUAUAUCUUAAUAAGUAAUACUGAACCAACAGCGUGUCUAAGUUUGAUCCAAGCAGCUCCUGUCAGAUGGAAGAAUGUUAAUUUGGAUGUUCAAGAACAUUAUGAAGCCAAUAAUGUAGUAUGUGAUGGAAUCUUAAUGUCCACAAUAAAGGCAAUUCUAUCAUUAACUUAGAAGAAUCACUUCACAGUUGGCCAUAUGGACAAGACAAAGGCUGUCUGGAGAAAUGUUUCAUGAUUAAUAACAAGAACUAUUUUUGGAAGAGUCAAUGUGAUUCAUUCAAAACAAAGAAAACUUUACAAACUGUUGUACAGACUAUGUGGAAUAAUGACGGCUAAACACAACUGACAAGUUCUUCAGUUUCAACUCGGCUGCUACAUGCUUGAAACUUGGUCAUAGUUGGUUGUUGGAACAGGACAAUGACCCAAACAGCUAUUAAGCUUUGUAUUGGCCCCAACCUUUCCCACAUUGAAGGUGAUUUAUGAAAUGUGCUUAAAGGCCAGGGCAGGGCGGGGCAAUGGCGGUAAUCAGAAUGAAUUCAACCAGUUUAGGCAGAAUUAUGCCAGAAGCUUGGACACAAAACUGUGUAGUUUCUCUUCCACUUGCUAUGACACAUUUAACCAAAUCUAAUGGGAGUGUAUGGAUAUAAUUAAGCUUUUAUGGGUAACUUUAAUCACACGUGGAUGAGGGAAAUUUAUAUUUGUGCUCCCAAUCCUUCUCAAAACUCAGUGAAGUUGCAGCUAUCCUCAUUACAACUGGACAAAAAGAGCAGGCAAAAGUAAUGACAAUUAUGACAUUCAUUUACGUAAUCGGUGUGUGUAAACUUUUGACCAGAACUUUACCGUUACCUUUCUCCACACUUGUUUUUGAGUUUCAAUCUCAUCACCCACCUUUCCCCCUAUCCUUCUGGAGAUAUGUUCAACUCUAUGGAUUGUGAGCUUAUGUAAGCCCUUUAAUAAUUCUUUCUUUGUUGAUGCUAAUAAACAUUUUGAAAGAAAACCUUUGUGUUGAGGAGAAUAAUUACACACUGCUAAAUGCGCUUUAUAAUUUAAACUAAACCCAAUGAAACCCCCUGAUGUUUGAAACAUUUGCUCCACAGAAAAGCUCAAAAUGAACUAAGCGGAUCUUUUACACCUUGAUAACAUUACAAGAGCUUAAACCGUCAUAUGUUACAGAUUUUGAAUUUAACACAAAUAUCAAGAUGGCAUGACCAGAAGUCCAAACAAAUACAAAAUGGCCGCUGGCGACCUUGCAGACGGUCUUGGUCAUCUGAUAACGUUUUGCACCAAUUUGGAUUCAAACAUUUUCAUAGCGCCGUCUCCCACCGAGACGCAGAGGAUUUAAGCGAUAACAACUCUUGAAACUCGUAUUUGCUGAUACGAUUUGAUGCACCUGAUCGCGUCACGCAUCAUCAGUAAACACACAAUAACGUCUCUGAGUGUUUACUCCCCGACAGACACGGCUCAUCUAAAGCCUGCCCGACCUGCCACGUUGGCUUCAGCAUAAAAAAAAAAUGGAGGAUUGGUGGGGUAGAGUUCUCUCUCUUUCUUGUCUUCCUGUUUUUGCUCUUCCUGCUCAUGUGACCCUCUCCCAGUCGCUUUAAAGAUCCUGCCUUUACCCCGCACGUUAAAUUGAACCCCAGCUGACCUCCGCAGAGAGAGGACGGCAGUAGCUGUUUAAAAAGACCGCCGCCCCACAAGGUAAACACCCUAACGCAGUUUAACCUCACCCCCCUCAACAUAGUUACUCAUAAACAAAUUCUAAACAUCAAUGAAAUGUUUUCCUGUAACUUUGAAGUUCGUAAUCCAGCCACGAAGCUAGAAUUAAUUAGAUUUCUGAAAAAAAAACAAAGCUAAAAAAUGUUAAAUAGUUUUAAUAUCUCAACAAACUGUGAAAUCAUUUUGUUCUAAGAUUUUAAUAAAACACGCAAUGUUUCGUUAACUGGACUAAAAACAUGGCUUAUAUUUUCUGAUGUUGGCUGAAAACGAUAUUGCUCAUGGUGUUUAUGUUUUUCCUUCAGGCUGAGGUCACAGCUGAACACCGCUGUCUGUCCAAACACGUUCCUACUGCUGAAGGAUUAAGAACAACGGACGCGUCUUUCUAGAAGCAUUGUCCAAUUGAAUCGGCGUCCAAAUCCACAGAAGAUCUUUGCUUGACCGUUUGUUUUUUUUACAUUUAUAACGUGGACUGUGGUCAUUACUUCAUGGCUUCAAAAAGAGAUGGAAAGCGACUUGUUUGGAGACGCAGAAAACAGAGUUGGAAGCCACAUCACAUGAAUCACACCUCAUCGUUCUCCGGAGAAAAGAGCAAAAAAAAGCUGUGAAUGGACUUCAGCGUCCUCUGGGACUCAGAGAAGAAAAAUUCUUUCAGAGCAUCAUUGACUCUCCGUAACUUCUUCACACACGCAGAACUGUUCUGGAUCGACUGCGAGCCUGAACCCGUCUCUCCUGUUUGCAGUAGAGAAGAUGUGUGAACCUUUUAUGGUAGACGUUAACUGUUGCCUGCCUGGAUGGAUGAGUUCAUGAAUAAUGCAGCAUGCCAAGGGAGGAACGUCGUCAUCCUAAAGGAAUUUUCUGUUUUCGUCUCAUUGUUGUCAAUAAUUUCAAUCCAGUGUUCCCAAUUGAAUUAACAACUCAAAAAGUGCCUUUCUGUGACAGUUUUAGAUAUUUUUGAGCUAAAGUUCAGCUGCCAGAGCUAACUGUUUUCCUUUCUACUGUGUGUCACCACAAUGUUAGAAACUCCUUCCCGUCCUCACAGAAGACGGCGCCCCAUUCCAGAUGCAUCGCUUAAUCACGCUCCACUUCGGUGGAUAUUCCAAUUCUGAAAUAGCUUUUCCGCCGAUACAGAGAGAGCUCCGUAAGUCCAGACGGACUCAUCCCUAUUCCACACACUUGUAAGUUCUCAAAGGCAGACAAUAGUUUUCCAUUAGAGGAAGCGAUUGUCGGCGGAGCCCCGGGUGCAGCCUCAGACAAUAACAUGGCGACCCAAAGCUCACAUGUCGGCCUGCCGGAGUCAACUCUCAUCACCUCCAGGGGCUGAUUCCCACUCUGAAGUGGCUUAAAGACACAGGCUUAUCUGAAGUUAGCUUGUCCGAGUUAAUAGAGAAAGAACAGCUUAUUUGAUUAAGAAUGCAUACAAAGGAGGAUGUAGUGAUCUGUGGCUAGAAGACGAGUCAAUUUCAGCUCCAGAGUACAAAUCAAUGUGUCUCUAACAGACCAUAAGACUGCUUAACUCAGCAAUGAAAUUAGACUGAGGCAAAAAUGCUAAAGCAGUGAUGAACUUGUGAAUAAGGGACAACUUUUGCUGAAGAUGUUGCCCUGUUGUGAUGGUGUUUGCUUGUUUUCUUUACGGUUGUGAGUCAGAUAUGAACUCAUCUUUACUUCUCCAUUGCCACAUGAAGUAAGAUGUUAAAAAGGGCCAUCUUCAGCUGGUGUUAUUGCUGUAUAGCCAACUAUUAAUCUGACUCGAUUUAACAGAUACAUAAUCCUCCAAUUGCUAGGUUCCAUUAGGUUCCUCUACUGCAGGGUUUCAUUUUGGGCCAUAUCUAGAUCACAAAUAACUUCAAAUUAUUGAAAAAUGUACUGAUAAAACUAUAUAAAAGCAAACUGUUCAACCAUUAAAGUGGUAGUGUUAUCUAUUUUCCACUCAUAUAAUACCAUUUUAUAGCACAAUCAAAUAACAAUGUUAACUUCAGUUUUUGUAGAUAUGCUUUAUGUAUCAAAAAUGACUUAAAAGAAAUUUGACUUUGUAUUUCUAUGACUUGAAGUUGGGCCUCUGUCUCUUUAAGAAACUCUUGGUCUUUCUGAAACUCUGCCCCAACAGGAAGUGACACCUGAAAAGCUGGACUGGUCAGGGCAAAAGGUCUUUAUUGUGUUCAUCACAGAGCCAGCCUGGGGGAAGAAACUGUCCCUGUGGCUGCUAGUUUUUGCAAAUAGUGCCAAAAUGAAGGUUAAAGUUUAAACAGUUUGUGUCCAGGAUGUGUGGGCUCUGCAGGUAUUUAAGCUUCCUUUCUCCUGACCUUAGACUUGUACAACAGAAAAGGUCAGCCCUGAUUCCAGAGAUAUAAAUAUCUGUCAUUAUUUUAUCGUGCUACAUUUAAGUUUGUGUACACAUGAAAAAUUAUCAUGCAUAAUAGUAUUGUGCUGUAUUAGCCUCUGAAGCUGUAACUCAUACAACAUCAUACCCCAAACAACAUGUUCCAGUUGUUGCCAAGCUCACUUUUAUAAACAAUAGGAAAUUACGUUUUUAUUCAUGUUUUAAACACAAAUGGAAAAUGCUGAUUGGGGAUGAAACAAGACUCAUGAUAUUAAAACAUGACAGUGUUUCUCGUCAAGGUAAAUGCUAUCUUGUUAGCAAUAACCAUUCGCCUGAUGUUUUAGUAGAAGUUGCCCAAACUUUAGGUUUCCAGUAGGAACGAUUAAUGGGAACAGAUGGAGAGACAAGACAGGGGCACAACUACAUAUUAUUCAGGUGGAUGCGAAAACAUAAAUCGCCCCGUGAAGGAGUGUAGAAAACAUAUGGUCGCUCUAUCCGUAUGAGUGACCAUAUGUUAUGAGUGACCCCCCCGAGACGAAGACACAUGAAAGGUAAAACUCGCUACGUUUACAUUUACAUGUGCGCGAGGUGAAGGAGCGUAAGGGCGCGGUGAAGU